AAACUUCAUAUGUGUGGAAUGACACAUGUGGCCUCUGCAUCUGGCUUCUUUCACAUAGCCUAAUGUUUUCAAGGCUGGCGCAUGUUGUAGCAUCUAUCAGAACUUCAUUCCUCCUUACAGCUGAUAACACUCCAUUAUGUGGAUAUGGAUAUGCCACACUUUAUCUUUUCAUCAGUUCGUGGACAUCUGGAUUGUCUCCACUUUUUGACUACUACACGUUCUGAAUUACCAGCGAUUUCACUCACUCAGAAUACAUAGAGACGAGGCUCCUCAUUCAGAAUCUCCCUGCACCUCAUGAUGGACUUGGCUGCACAUGGGACAACUCAGUCAUUUCCUGGAACUUGCAUUUCACUGGGAGAGGCCUGCUCUCAGGGAGGGUGCUUUUUGUGGUCUUCCAUGUACAGCUAAUUAAGAUUCUGACUGGGUUUAGGAUCAAAGAAAGCUGUCCCAUUGCAUUCCCACAUUCUUCCUUCUUCUUUCAAUGUCUUCCAAGAUCUAUUUUAAACGGGAAGUGUUGUGUACUUUUCAGGGGCCCUUUGACCUGUUCCCAGUAAAUCAAAACAGGAAGGUAGGUCUCAGCCCUUCGCCUAACAGCCAAUCAGUGUGAGACCAAGGUCUGCACAGCUGUGUCUAUGUCCAGUGCCCAACCAGGGAAGUGGUAUUUCCAAAGGCUUCCCUGAGGUCGGUCUAUGGUAGCUGUUUGCUAAUCUGAAUCCAUGUUGGUGAUUAAUUUUGGAAUUCGACUCUUUGAGUGUAUAAGGGACAGGGUGCAAAGGGAAAACAUCUCAGAGAACUUCUACAAAUAUUAGGAGUUGGUGCAAGAAGUUCACAGUGAGCUGGGAAGGAGUGGGAAGAAAUAACAGGGCCUUGGAUCCUUUCCAAUUCCCACCCCGGUGCGCUUGGCAGCUCACAUGAUACCUCGACUUUUCCAAAUAUUGGGGAGAAAAAGCAGCCAAGGUUUUAUGUAAGAAUGAAAAGGGCCUGAAGCAUUUCAAUUUCCGGGUGGCUAAACAAAAGAGGACACACACCAGGGAAAGCCCCUUAAAGUGUGUGCAGAAGAGUUGGACAAAAGAGAAGAGGCAUUUAAUCAGACAGAGAAAAAAAUAGAAAUGAUGUCAUUAUUUGGGUAUAGUGAGGUUGCCAUGUAGGUGUGUUUGUAUAAAUUCCUUGGGCUUUUCCUAGUAAUGAGAUAAUGCUGUAAGGUCCCCAGUUCCUCAAAAAUUUAGCUAAAACUUGGAGCGAUACUAAUUACAAAACACAAUCGCCACGCAGGUAAAGCUAUACAUAUCAUAAAUAUAGUCUACUGCUUACAGGAUGAGACCCUUGUUAGCAUGGGAGGGGCCCGAUUUCAUAAUUUGUACACCUGCAAUGCAGGGACUGAUCUCUCUGUAGGUGCACAUUUGCCUCAGGGUACACUGGCCUAGUGCGGCACUGCCCUACAAAGGCAAAUCCUCCAUCAAUACAUAAUGAAAAACGACCCAUCAAAAAAAUAAGUCAGAGUUGGGGAGGCACAGAAAAAGUGACAAAUUGAUUCCAGACUCUUCUUUUUUAGGCCAUCAUGGAAACAGUUACUGGAUUUAUAUUGGAAAAUUCCUACCAGGGUGUGACGCCUUCAAUCGCCCUUCGUUUCCCGUGAUCUCCCCAGGAGCAGGCAGAGGGGCAUCCUGGGAACCGACCGCGAGGUGGCCUGGAUCUUACUGCUGCCACUGAGUGCCGCUCCCAGGAAUGUGGGCACGGGGAUCCAAAACCUCAGACGCACUGCAGGAAUGUGGGCACGGAGAGCCAAAACCUCAGACGCACCGCAAGGUGCCCACAACCUCAUUCGUGUGCUUGGACACCUGAAAAUCCUUUACCUGGUACCUUUAAUUGACAAAUUUCAUAUAAUCACCACUUUUCGUAAUAUCUGAGGAAUUCCACUAAAGAAAGAGGGAUGCCUGAACACUGGAGACACACAAAUGUCCGUAUUUUAUAUAAGAAAGGUCAAGGCAAUGAAUUUAGCGUUCUAGACUGCUACAUUUAAUAUGGAUACCUUGAAAAGCGAUGAUGGAAUAAUUUAUUGACAGCUUUGUUGUAUUUUAAAAGUAAUAAAGGAGGCAUCCAACCAAACAAGUUCAUUGAAUUUUUGAUGGGGCCAUGAGACCUGUAGAUCAGAAGGACACAGGCAGUGUGAUUUCCUCAAAGUGUUUGACUUGACAAAGGAGGGAGGAAUUAAAGUGUAAGGAGACGUUGAUAGUUGAUUAAACAACAGCGACCUAAAGGGUGCUGAGAAGUCCACUGCUGUUAACCUGGAGGAAAGUCCCCUGAGUCCCAGCUGUUGGGGACAGCUCAUCUGCCAGGCAACAGAAUCCAUGUUCAAGAUGAUUUCAAGGCCCAAAGGAAGAGACAAAAACAAAUACAAACAAUUCAUUAGAAAUAAAAGUUUUUUAAAAUGUGAAA
ensembl:lncRNA novel transcript